GAUGAAGAACGCAGCGAAAUGCGAUAAGUAAUGUGAAUUGCAGAGUUCAGUGAAUCAUCGAAUCUUUGAACGCACAUUGCGCCCCUUGGUAUUCCGAGGGGCAUGCCUGUUCGAGCGUCAUAUUAACCACUCCCGCUUGCGGGGUCUUGGGCUUCGCCUCCGGGCGGGCCUUAAAAUCAGUGGCGGUGCCGUCGGGCUCUACGCGUAGUAAAUUUUCUCGCGAUAGGGUCCCGGUGGAUGCUUGCCAACAACCCCCAACUUCUUAAGGUUGACCUCGGAUCAGGUAGGGAUACCCGCUGAACUUAAGCAUAUCAAUAAGCGGAGGA
rnacentral:misc_RNA from 1 species